AUGUUUCUCCAGGUUUCUGCUGCCAACCUCAUUGAAGGCUCAUCAGCAUUUGAGGAAUUGUUUGGAUCUGUUCUUAUCAACUCACUGACAGACAGUCCACCAGCCAAAGGCAGGUACAGCUCCUUCAUGUUCACAGGAGCCCCCGCUUCCCAUGUCGGGAGAGGCCUCAGGCCUGUGACCCACCUUUCUGGGAGGAGAGAAGCUGGUUGCCCAGCACAGGACGACGGAUUGGCAGAAAGUAAUGCAGACUUAGGAGCAACAGUGGUGAGACGUGGCACACAUCAGGGACUUCAAGGCCCACUUCCGGUUUACUUGACUGCAGACCUGAGAAUGUCCCUCCACCCACCAUGUUUAUCCAGGUAUCUGUUCCCAACAUCAUCGCAAGCUCAUCAAGACUUGAGGACUUGUUUGGUCUAUUUCUUAUCAAUUCACUGACAAGACAGUCCACUGGCCAGAGCAGAAAGGAGGUGGCCGUGCAGCGCUGUGGAGUAACUGCUGGCGCAGAAGUACACAGAUGUCUGGGAGGGGUUGGCGGACUCCAGCGUGAGAGGGAAGUUCUCUUUGCUUGGUCUGGAGAUGCUGUAGCCCUCGGGCACGUCUCCUUGCUGCGUGGUGGGAGGUCCAGCUGAAUAAUGGAUCAGCCUCAGCCCGUGUCCUGGGUCUUGUCGGUACCAGUACAUAUAGUUAUGACCCAGAUCCUGAGUACAAUUAAGUGUAGCCCUCUGUCCUGUCUUCACCACCUGGAAUCUGGGGUCCUGAGUGACACCAGCAUGGACGACCCCUGUGGAGAAGGAGGACCGAUGCUGCAGUCACAGCGGACAGACUUAGUGCUGGCACCCUGAAGGGGACCCUGCCCCCCAGGACUCACCUGCCUGCACAGGUGGGGGGGGUGGGGCGGGUGGAGGGCCCUCUGGGCUGAGUGUGGAUGAGAGGGGAGAGGGGUUCUCCAGGGAGUCCUUCUGAGAUGUCACUGUCCCUGCCAGGCCCCAGAGCCAACCUGUCACUCAGGAGGCCACACCCCUUCCCCUAGAGGCUCAAAUCAAAGUUGAUUCUAAAUCAGUAGCUUAGAACAAGGAGAUGGCUUGGACAGAUUGCUUGGACAUGGUCUGAACAGAUGUAAGUCUUACAAAGUGUUGUAACCUUUCCUUAGAGUAGUUUGUACCUUUAUAUAUAUUUCACUCGGGAGAUAAUUCCUUAAUUUGUAUAUUAGCAUAUUUGUCUACAUAUUUCUAUAGUUUUGAAUCUCA
rnacentral:lncRNA from 1 species